rnacentral:rRNA from 1 species
CAGCCGCCGCGGGAAUACGAUGGGUGCAAGCGUUAAUCGGAAUUACUGGGCGUAAAGCGUGCGUAGGCGGUUUGUUAAGUCUGUUGUGAAAUCCCCGGGCUCAACCUGGGAAUGGCAAUGGAUACUGGCAAGCUAGAGUGUGUCAGAGGAUGGUGGAAUUCCCGGUGUAGCGGUGAAAUGCGUAGAGAUCGGGAGGAACAUCAGUGGCGAAGGCGGCCAUCUGGGACAACACUGACGCUGAGGCACGAAAGCGUGGGGAGCAAACAGGAUUAGAUACCCGGGUAGUCCCUGUCUCUUAUAC